GGUGGUGUAGGGGUUAAGCAUGCAACCAUGUGCAGAGGCUAUACUCCUCAGUGCGACUGUCCCGGGUUCGAAUCCCGGACCU